CAAGCCUAUGACGGGUAGCCGGUUCUGAAAAGGAUGUCCGGCCGCAAUGGAACUGAGACACGGUCCAUACUCCUACGGGAGGCAGCAGUGGGGAAUCUUGCGCAAUGGGCGAAAGCCUGACGCAGCAAUCCCGCGUGAAGGAUGAAGCAUUAUGGUGUGUAAACUUCUUUUCUGGUGGAAGACGAAUGACGGUACACCAGGAAUAAGGGACGGCUAACUACGUGCCAGCAGCCGCGGUAAUACGUAGGUCCCAAGUGUUAUCCGGAAUUACUGGGCGUAAAGAGUCUGUAGCCGGGUUUGUAAGUCUGUUUUCAAAUCCUAUGGCUUAACCAUAGAGAGGGAAUGGAUACUGCAAACCUUGAGAUUAUUGGGGGUUGAUGGAAUUUCCGGUGGAGCGGUGAAAUGCGUUGAUAUCGGAAGGAACGCCAAAAGUGAAAGCAGUCAACUACAAUAAAUCUGACGGUCAGAGACGAAAGCUUGGGGAGCAAACGGGAUUAGAUACCCCGGUAGUCCAAGCCGUAGAUUAUGCAUGCUAGGUGUCUUGUUCACUUUAUGUGAGCGGGGUGCCGUAAUCUAACGAGUUAAGCAUGCCGCCUGGGUAGUAUAUUCGCCAGAAUGAAACUCACGGGGAUAGGCGGGGGAACCACACAAGCAGUGGAUUGUCUCGAUUACUUGGAUUAUACGCCAAGAAUUCUUCCUAGACUUGACAUAUAUUGUGUCCUACGUGAAAGUGUAGUAAUCCCGAUUUUGUCGGGAUACGAUAUACAGGUGGUGCAUGGUCGUCGUCUAGCUCGUGCCGCAAGUAUGUCCAGUUAAGUCUGGGAACGAGCGCUACCCUCGUUGUUAGUU
rnacentral:rRNA from 1 species